UCAAAGUGGUGGGAUAACAAAAGUUUUUUUUUUGCUUUUUAAAAAAUUCAAUGUUAGCAAGAGAAUGAUAAGUUUGGGAGCUUCAUAUGAUGCUUUAGAAGUGUAAAUUUCCUUUCUGAUAAGCAGCUAAGCAAGCUAUAUCAGGAAUGUAGCUUUUUGGUUGUUUUUUGAGAUGGUCUUGCGUUGUUGCCCAGGCUUUGAGUGCAGUGGCAUGAUCAUGGCUCACUGCAGCCUCAACCUCCCUGACUCAAGCGAUCCUCCCACCUCAGCCUCCCAGGUAGCUGCGACUACAGGCACGCACCACUCCACUCGGCUAAUUUUUUAUUUUUUAUUUUUGUAGAGACAGGGUCUUCCUAUGUUGCCCAGGCCAGUCUCUGAACUCCUGGGCUCAAGUGAUCCUUCUGCCUUGGCUCACACCUAUAAUCCCAGCCUCCCAAGUAGCUGGGACUACAAGGCACCUACUGCUGCACUUAGCUUUAUCUUUUAACUCAUAUUUUAAAUGUCUUCUACAAGGCACAGAAAAAUAAGUAGUUGUGUUCAUUUUUAAGUAAAUAGUAGUAAACAGUUUCAAAUGCUGUUUGAGAUGUUAAUUAAGGCACACACUUAGACUAGUCCAUUUGAUUUGAAAAUUAGGAUUUUAUUUGUGCUUUUUGUUAAUUACUGGCUUUUAAAAGAUCAGUAGUGGGGCAGAAACUAGACUAGUGGGUUGAAGGGUGAAUAGGAAAUAAGUAAUACUUAUUCUUUCAAGGAGCUUGACUGAAAAGGAGACAGUGGUAGUUUGAAGAUAUUGCUGUUUUUAAGAUAAAAAUGAUUUCAGCACUUUAAAAAUAAAAAGUUGGAAAUGAUCAAUGAAUCAAGGAUCAUCAAGAAAGAGGCAAGAGGAAGUAAGAUUAAGCACAAAGAGUAUCAACUGAUAGGUGGCAUUUCAAGGAACUUCAGGUGUUGAAUAUCUAAAGCACCAAAUGCGUGUGGACAGCAGUGAAGAUAAAGCUGGAAAUGCGCCGGCAGACCAACACAUGAUGAGCCCUGUAGGUGGUGGACAAAGACUAUGAGCAAGCCAUUUAGGCAAACAUCUGAAGAAUUUAAAAAUCAAAGGCAAACAAAUAGGACUGUUUCAUUAAGAUCACUUGCAUUCUAACAGGUUAUGAUGAAUGGAAAGCUGAUGGUUCCUGGUUGGAAAAAAGAUAAUUUUCAAUUUGGACAUGUCACAUUUGAGAUGCAGUUGACACACCCAAGAUACAUAAUAUAUUGUCUUUCAAAAUUCAGAAACCUAAUAAACCAUGAUCUUAAUAA
rnacentral:lncRNA from 10 species